rnacentral:rRNA from 1 species
GAAUGCGAUCAUACCAGCACUAACGCACCGGAUCCCAUCAGACCUCCAAAGUUAGCGUGCUUGGGCGAGAGUAGUAUUGCAUCAGAAAUCUUUUUGUUUUUCCUCUU